UGCCUUGCCCCACCCCCUAGCCAUGGGACUCCUCAUGAGGAAGCUGUUCCUGGAGGAAGAACUGUGAGGGGAAGAGACUUCAUCAGGCAAGGCCUCCUUCCACCUGCCUUGCCCCACCCUCCGGCCCUAGGAGUCCUCAUAAGGGAGCUGUGCCUGGAGGAAGAACUGUGAGGGGAGAGACUCCAUCAGGCAAGGCCUCCUUCCACCUGCCUUGCCCCACCCCCUGGUCAUGGAACUCCUUAUAAGGAAGCUGUUCCUGGAGGAAGAACUGUGAGGGGAGAGAUUUCGUUAGGCAAGGCCUCCUUCCACCUGCCUUGC